GAGUUUGAUCCUGGCUCAGAUUGAACGCUGGCGGCAUGCCUUACACAUGCAAGUCGAACGGCAGUACGGGAGCUUGCUCCUGGUGGCGAGUGGCGAACGGGUGAGUAAUGCAUCGGAACGUAUCCUGGAGUGGGGGAUAACGUAGCGAAAGUUACGCUAAUACCGCAUAUUCUGUGGGCAGGAAAGCGGGGGACCUUCGGGCCUCGCGCUCUUGGAGCGGCCGAUGUCGGAUUAGCUAGUUGGUGAGGUAAAGGCUCACCAAGGCGACGAUCCGUAGCAGGUCUGAGAGGAUGAUCUGCCACACUGGAACUGAGACACGGUCCAGACUCCUACGGGAGGCAGCAGUGGGGAAUUUUUGGACAAUGGGGGCAACCCUGAUCCAGCCAUGCCGCGUGAGUGAAGAAGGCCUGGUUGUAAG
rnacentral:rRNA from 1 species